rnacentral:lncRNA from 1 species
GAGAUACCAGUGUAACCAUGAAUUCUGACAGUGAGGCUUGCAUCACUGAAGAUUAAGAAGGAAAAGGGUAGCUCUCUGUAAUCUACAGGACACAGCAGAGGGCAACCAGUCAUGGCAGUCUUCAGGUUUAAGCUUUGGGAAUUUGCUUGGCUUGAAUUCUGACAGGAGUCUUCCAGGUGACAGCAAUAUUGAGACAUGAGAAAAGCACCUUGACAUGUCUUCUAAAGAGGUUGGCUGGAAUGGAAAUAUUCCUUCAUCUUGCACUAUCUUGGCAAAUUUCUUACAGGUGGAGAAGCACAUAUGGUUGAACAUCUCUCCACAAAGAGCAGAAAUAGAGAUUCUUGAGGCAUCAAGGCUGGAAAAGAAAACAUUCUUCAAAUGGCCACACUACUUAGAGAUAAGAACUUUAACCUCAAUCUGUGACCCAAGCCCCAUCACCCCUCUUCUCUCUGAAUGUUUCAGGAGAUGGAAGUUUGUGGGUGGGUGUUGCCCCUUGACCCUUCCUGCAACUUCAUCAUUACCGGAAAAUCAGACUGAAUCACUCUGCUGGUGCCUCUUGCACGUCCUGUGUUUCUUUAAACUUCCCGAUUCCCUUUCUUCCUCCUUCCACCUCCUCAGCUGCAUCCACCAUUGCACAAGCUAUUCUGAGGUUGCACUCCUUGCUGCACACUGGUCCCACUGUUAGGCCACACUAUACCUGGGAUUUCUCUCCUUGCCUGUAGUCAGCAGUAUUUGCUGGAGCUCAGCUUUCUAACUGAACACUAGCCUGAGCUAUAAAAUUAUGUAGAAACAAAGGAAACCAGGCACAUUUUUAAACCCUUUGAAUUUCAUAUGAGAAUGAAUCAUAGAAAGAGUAAUUUUCUUCUCUUACUGAAUAGGGAACUGCAUUAAGGUUGGAAGGAAAAUGACUGGUAAAGCAACUUUAUUUGUUUCAUGUUAAGGCAGCCACUGCAAGUUUUUUCAGCUACCCAUCUACCUUUUUUUUGCCUUAUUUUGGGAAAAAGACACAAUUCUUCUUUCUCCACUCCUUCCCAAGAAAUCUUAUUUUGAGGUUGAAUUAAAUAUUUUAAUGUACUGUGAAUGCUCCCUUACCAAAAAAAAACAGCUUAACUGUUUUAGGUAAACAAAAGCAACAAAAAACAUCUUUUCAGUGUCACCAGUGAACUGUCUGAAUCGAUAACUCACACAGCACGAGGGAGAGGCCUGCUUUGAGUCCAGGAGUGGAUAAUUGACUUUAUGCUGCAUUUGACUUCAGUGAUCCUUGGAGAGAGAGGACAUUUGAGUCAGCUACAGCUCAGUGAUAUUGUCAAGUGCCCAGCCAGCCAUGCCAGGGGCGCAGGUGUGGUUGGCAGUGCCUGUUCACAUCCAGCUCUUAAGCUCUGCCACAGCAGCCUCUAAUUUCUGUGCCCAAGGGCAGGUGAGCUGUGAGUGUGGUGUUCUUUCCCAGAAGUGAUGAUCACUACUUCAGCUCCCAGC